GAUGAACGCUGGCGGCGUGCUUAACACAUGCAAGUCGAACGGAAAGGCUCCUGCUUGCCGGGGUCCUCGAUUGGCGAACGGGUGAGUAACACGUGGGUGAUCUGCCCUUCAAUUCGGGAUAUGCCUGGGAAACUGGGUCUAAUACCGGAGAGGACGAUGUUUUGGAUGCCAUUCUGGAAAGUUUUUCGGUGUGGGAUUAGCUCGCGGCCUAUCAGCUUGUUGGUUAGGUAAUGGCCUACGAAGGCGGCGACGGGUAGCCGGCCUGAGAGGGUGUACGGCCACAAUGGGACUAAGAGACGGAGCAGAAUCGUACGGGCGGCAGCAGUGGGGAGUUUUGCGCAAUGAGGGCAAGCCUGAUGUAGCGGCGCCGCGUGGGGGAUGACGGCCUUCUGGUUGUAAACUCCUUUCGCUAGAGACGAAGAGAUAGUGACGGUACCUGGAGAAGAAGCAACGGCUAACUACGUG
rnacentral:rRNA from 1 species